UUGAUUUAUUUGUUUUUUAUUCAGAGAAUGUAUAAAGAUAAUAGUUUGACCUUCGGCGGCAGACAUUGCUGUCCGUUAUCCGCCGAAGCAACAUAGGUAUGUUCACAGGGGUUUGGGAGUUGUAAACUCGGUAAUGAUCCCUCCGCUGGUUCACCAACGGAGA
rnacentral:misc_RNA from 1 species